UUAACCAUAGUAUGCUUUGGAAACUGUUCAACUUGAGUGCAGGAGAGGUAAGCGGAAUUCCUAGUGUAGCGGUGAAAUGCGUAGAUAUUAGGAGGAACACCAGUGGCGAAGGCGGCUUACUGGACUGUAACUGACGUUGAGGCUCGAAAGCGUGGGGAGCAA
rnacentral:rRNA from 1 species